CACGUAGGGUGCGAGCGUUGUCCGGAAUUAUUGGGCGUAAAGAGCUCGUAGGCGGUGUGUCGCGUCGGCCGUGAAAACCUGCAGCUUAACUCCGAGCCUGCUUCUGAUACGGGCAGACUAGAGGUAUGCAGGGGAGAAUGGAAUUCCUGGUGUAGCGGUGAAAUGCGCAGAUAUCAGGAGGAACACCGGUGGCGAAGGCGGUUCUCUGGGCAUGACCUGACGCUGAGGAGCGAAAGUGUGGGGAGCGAACAGG
rnacentral:rRNA from 1 species